AUUGAACGCUGGCGGCAGGCCUAACACAUGCAAGUCGAGCGGAUGAAGGGAGCUUGCUCCUGGAUUCAGCGGCGGACGGGUGAGUAAUGCCUAGGAAUCUGCCUGGUUGUGGGGGAUAACGUCCGGAAACGGGCGCUAAUACCGCAUACGUCCUGAGGGAGAAAGUGGGGGAUCUUCGGACCUCACGCUAUCAUAUGAGCCUAGGUCGGAUUAGCUAGUUGGUGGGGUAAAGGCCUACCAAGGCGACGAUCCGUAACUGGUCUGAGAGGAUGAUCAGUCACACUGGAACUGAGACACGGUCCAGACUCCUACGGGAGGCAGCAGUGGGGAAUAUUGGACCAUGGGCGAAAGCCUGAUCCAGCCAUGCCGCGUGUGUGAAGAAGGUCUUCGGAUUGUAGAGCACUUUAAGUUGGGAGGAAGGGCAGUAAGUUAAUACCUUGCUGUUUUGACGUUACCAACAGAAGAAGCACCGGCUAACUUCGUG
rnacentral:rRNA from 1 species